GUGAAUCAUCAAAUUUUUGAACGCAAAUUGCACUCUCCUCGGAGCGUAUGACUGUUUGUGUGUCAGCCUAAAAUUAAUCGUCAAAGUCGUUGUUUCGUGGUGACAUUCGUCGGUUAUUGGGUCAUCUUUAACCUUUUGGUCUUAAGCGGCUUAAAAUUUUCUUUAAGUUUCCACGAACGUUUCUAUGAUUUUAUUUCUUACACACGUUUAAGGUAUCGAUCUUUUUUAGACGUGUCCGUUGCAUUGGA
rnacentral:misc_RNA from 1 species